UACGGAGGGGGCUAGCGUUGUUCGGAAUUACUGGGCGUAAAGCGCACGUAGGCGGAUACUUAAGUCAGGGGUGAAAUCCCGGGGCUCAACCCCGGAACUGCCUUUGAUACUGGGUAUCUCGAGUCCGGAAGAGGUGAGCGGAAUUCCGAGUGUAGAGGUGAAAUUCGUAGAUAUUCGGAGGAACACCAGUGGCGAAGGCGGCUCACUGGUCCGGUACUGACGCUGAGGUGCGAAAGCGUGGGGAGCAAACAGG
rnacentral:rRNA from 1 species